rnacentral:misc_RNA from 1 species
GUCAACAGAGCUUGGACAUAAGAAAUGAAGUCAGCCACCUGAGCCGUUUCGCAAAGACAGCAAGGCUUUGAACAUUUGAUCAGGUAGACAUUAGACUUGCCGGUUACUGACCCUAACCUUUAUGUAGAAGAAAAUCAGGUUUUUGCUUAUCAUGACGCGAGAACUUGACGGCUAAGCAACUUCAAACGAAACUGUGCGAUCAUUAUCAUCUUUUGACCUUAAAACGAGGAGAACGUCGGAGAGAUGAUGCAGAUCCAGGAGAUAGGAGUGCUGCCCUACUCCCUUUGGCACGGUCAACUUUCUU